rnacentral:rRNA from 1 species
AGAGUUUGAUCCUGGCUCAGAACGAACGCUAGCGGCGUGUUUGAUUCAUGCAAGUCGAGCGAGAACGCUCCUUCGGGAGCAAGUACAGCGGCGGACUGCUGAGUAAUACACCGGUAACCUACCCGCGAGACCGGAAUAACUUCGCGAAAGCGUGGCUAAUGCCGGAUAUUAUGCCCCACCGCCUGGUGGGGUCUGAAAGGGUUUCCCUUCGGGGUCUCCGCUCACGGACGGACCUGUGGCCUAUUAGCUUGUUGGUGGGGUAACGGCCCACCAAGGCAGAGAUGGGUAGCCGGCCUGAGAGGGCGAUCGGCCAGACUGGGACUGAGACACUGCCCAGACUCCUACGGGAGGCAGCAGAGGAGAAUCAUCCGCAAUGGGCGCAAGCCUGACGGUGCGACGCCGCGUGGACGAUGAAGGCCUUCGGGUUGUAAAGUCCUGUCAGAGGCCAUGAACGUGAAGCGGUUAAUAGCCGUUUCUUUGACCAGCCUCAAAGGAAGGUCCGGCUAACUUCGUGCCAGCAGCAGCGGUAAUACGGAGGGACCCAGCGUUGUUCGGAACUACUGGGCAUAAAGGGCGUCUAGGCGGACCGAUAAGUCGGGUAUGAAAGCCCUGGGCUCAACUCAGGAACUGUGCCCGAUACUGUCGGCCUUGAGUGUAGAAGGGGAGAGCGGAACUCCUGGUGUAGCGGUGAAAUGCGUUGAUAUCAGGAUGAACGCCGGUGGCGAAAGCGGCUCUCUAGUCUACUACUGACGCUGAAGCGCGAAAGCUAGGGGAGCGAACGGGAUUAGAUACCCCGGUAGUCCUAGCCGUAAACGAUGGGCACUAAGUAGGGGGAGUACCGAUACCUUCCCUGCUGAAGCUAAUGUGAUAAGUGCCCCGCCUGGGGAGUACGACCGCAAGGUUAAAACUCAAAGGAAUUGACGGGGGCCCGCACAAGCGGUGGAGCAUGUGGCUCAAUUCGAGGCAACGCGAAGAACCUUAUCCUGGGCUUGACAUGCUGGUGGUACGAACCUGAAAGGGGGAGGACCUUACAUUGUGAGGAGCCAGCACAGGUGCUGCAUGGCUGUCGUCAGCUCGUGUGGUGAGAUGUUGGGUUAAGUCCCGUAACGAGCGAAACCCUUGCCCUUAGUUGCCAGCGCGUAAUGGCGGGGACUCUAAGGGGACUGCCGGUGUCAAACCGGAGGAAGGUGGGGAUGACGUCAAGUCCUCAUGGCCUUUAUGUCCAGGGCUGCACACGUGCUACAAUGGCCGGUACAGAGGGAAGCAAUACCGCGAGGUGGAGCAAAUCCCAAAAAAACCGGUCCCAGUUCGGAUCGGAGGCUGCAACUCGCCUCCGUGAAGUUGGAAUCGCUAGUAAUCGCGGAUCAGCACGCCGCGGUGAAUAUGUUCCCGGGCCUUGUACACACCGCCCGUCAAGCCACGAAAACCGGGGGUGCCCGAAGUCGUCGAUCCAACCUCUUUUAGAGGAGGAAGACGCCGACGGUAGACCUGGUGAUCGGGACUAAGUCGUAACAAGGUA